GAGGGGUUGUACAUGACUUUCCCCUUGGAAUGCAGUUAGCAAACUGGUGAGCCCAGAUGCAUGAUUUCAAACUGUAGAGAGGUGUGUCGCGCAGUGGGCGGCUCUGCUCAGUUGCCUUCCUCCUGGCCUUUGCCUCUCUCAUCUGUGAGCUCAGCAAAGCUCCCAGCCUUGACAGCCGCAGCCUCCUCAAGAUUCCCAGAAGCCUCCGCGUCGACCCUGGAACGUUUGAACCUGCGGUCGGGAUACUGGCUGUUGUCAAAAGGCAUUCGAUGGACGCAGAGGACGUGGGUCUUCAGGUUCCCCUUCUGCGAGGCACUGUAGGGACAGUAGUGACACUGGAAAGGCCUGUGACCUGUGGGGAAAGAAAGUGUCCAGUCAGCAGGGUGUCAUAUCUCAGUCACCACCCCUAUCCUGAGCUUUAAGACCAACACACCACCACCACCACUACCACCAACACCACCACCACCACCACCACCACCACCACCACCGUCUAUGACAUCACAGCCACUUAGCAGACUUAAAGGAGAAGGGGAAGGGAAGCAGCCCGUUAGACACAUUGAGUGAGAUUCAGACUCCCCUCCCAUUCUGACCAGAAUUUUUAGUCUUGACUUUCCAGAAGAGAGAACAGAAACCAUUCAAUAUCUAGAACCAUUUCAAGAAAACUAGAUAUUUACAGAACAAGAAACGAGGCAAACUAUUCCAUUUUUCACAUUUAUUUCUUGUGAGUGUGUAUAUACACAUACACACACCUGUGCCCUUAGACUUAUGCACACAUGUCACAGAUGUUAUACAUCCUGAACUCUUUAUUAAUGUCAGACCAAGCAUGAGGAGUAAAUGUGUCUGGAGGGUAAGGGAGACAGAUGCUGAAUAGCCCUGCUCUAAGCAACACUGUAAGGAAUGACUGUACUGCACAGCUUUAGAAGUUAGGAGAGUCAGAGUGGACAGAGGGACCACACGGAUCAGGUAAAGAAACAGUUGUGGUAUGCAACAGAUCUUGUCUGUCCUGUGAGCCUGGGAGCCUCUGAAGUAUCCAUACACUGCCACCUUCCAGCCUGUGCCACCCAGAAUGCACACCAUGUGGAGAAGAUCAAUCUGUGUGCUGCUGAGCAAGAACGCAGAGAACCAGCAGCAGGACUGGCCCACCAGCGUGAUGAUUGCCGCCUGUGUUUCUGCCACCUAGUUCUACCCUCGGGGCUUGGCCACCUUCCCAUAAAAACAGAGAAGGCCCUGAGUGGGAGAUAGACAAAGAUGAUGGACGAUUAUUCUGGCAGAUUCGGAUACUUCCGUGGUCGAAUCAUUAUUGGAUUGGUUUGCUUUUUGAACGUCGUCGGUGAAAUGGAAUCUGUGUGCGAAUGCAUCAGGAGCUCUGGAUGCAUUCACUGGAGGGGGUAAUCUGAGUAGUACUAGAAUUUCAAGAAGUCUGGGUCGUUCUACAGCCUUAGUUGAACUCCAUGGAAGUUUUGUCAAGAAGUCAUAUCGCCUCCACUGUACACAUGGGGAAGUUAAGACCCAGCCAAUCUGAAAGAUCUGCAUUCAGACCAAGCUUCCAAUGCACACAGUGUACUCUGAAUCUUUAAUUCCCCAAAUGUGCACAGGGACUUCCCUAGUUAGUUUCAGCUGUUGACUUCAUGCAAACUAGAGUCACUCAGGAAGAAGCCAUCACAAGUGAGACAUUGCCUUCAUCGGACUGCCUUGGAUGUAGCAGGUCACGCCCUGCUGAGGGUGGUGCCAUUACCUAGUUCCCCAUUCCCACGGCCUUGAAAGUGAGAUGUUUCAAGUUCAGAGGAACCAAUGUCAGUGGAUGCGUUUCAUUGGAAUGACGUUUUGCAAACGCAGCUUGAGGCUUGCUGAGCACAGAAUCCCCUGCUAGAAGGAGCUCCUGCAGAUGGCAGGACUGGAGAGAGCCUGAGUCCAAACAGCCUUGUGAGACCGUGCAGGUUGUUGAAGAACCAGUAAGGAUUCCACAUAGGAUACCUCUGCUUCUGGAAUGACUUCUUGAUUGUUCUAAACCCAUCAUUGUGGCUGUCAAAGACGUGACUUCAGUCCCACUCUUAACGUCAAAAGCUGAGCAAGUAAAAUAGCCAUGCCUGAUCCUCUCCAAGAAGACUAGUAACACCAUGAGGACAGGGGCCCUGGGGUUUUGUUGAGGGAGGGGUGGUUCAUUUGUUUGCUUGCUUGCUGGCUUGUUCUGAUAUUGCUGUUAGCUAUUACGACAUGACUCAAGCUCAUCACAGACAUCAGUAUUUUUCUAGCAGCAGAUAUGAGUGAAACAUGCAAGAGCC
rnacentral:lncRNA from 1 species